rnacentral:rRNA from 1 species
UGGGGAAUCUUGCACAAUGGACGAAAGUCUGACCCAGCCAUGCCGCGUGAAUGAAGAAGGUCUUCGGAUCGUAAAGCUCUGUUGUCGGAGAGGAAGGAGUGUGAGAUUGGACCUUUGCUCAUGGAAGUGUCUCUUACAAGAAAGGGAGGGCUAAUUACUGGCCACCACCCGCGGUAUUACGUAGGUGCCGACCGUUGUCCGAAUUUAUGGGCCGUAAACCCAGCCCAGGCGGUUGUAUAAUCCUAAAUUAAAUCGCUGGGGUCUACCCGUAAAAUGCUUUGGAAACUGUUUAACUUGAGUGCCGUAGAGGAGAGUGGAAUUCCAUGUGUAGCGGUGAAAUGCGUAGAUAUCUGGAGGAACACCGGUGGCGAAAGCGGCUCUCUGGAUUGAAACUGACGCUCAGGCUCGAAAGCGUGGGGAGCAAACAGGAUUAGAUACCCUGGUAGUCCACGCUGUAAACGAUGUNNGCUNGGUGNUAGANCCUUUCCGGGGUGUAUUGCCGAACCUAACGCAUUAGUCANUCCGCCGGGGAGUAACGACNNCAGGGUUG